rnacentral:lncRNA from 1 species
AUCUGAAACAGAAGUUUUUACUUCAGCAUCACAGAUUUGACGUGAUGUAGCAAUUGUCUUGUGCUCUGCUUAGAGCUCUGCAUCACCCUCAUGCAAGUACAGUGAAGAAUUCCUUCAAACACAACAACACUGCAUCCUGAAGAUACGUUGAGAAGACUGCUCAAAGUCAAUAAGCACGCAGUGAGAAACCUUUUCAUGCCAAAUUUGUGCCCUCCAGCCCAGCUGUUUCAGUUCAAAUGUCUUUGGAAUAAGUUCACAACAGCAACUCUCUUCAUGAAGAAAAGGAACUCGGUCAGAAUGUCCUUGCAGAGGAGCUUGUUCUGGAGGAAUGCUGCCUGCCACCUGCCUUCCAAGGAACUGCCAGCUUUGCCUGGAGAAAAUAGCCCAUCUGCUAAGUUAUACAGCUCUUUCAUUCUUCAGCCCAGGUUACUGGUGAAGACUUUAUAUAUACAGCCGCAUUUUUAAUACUUCCAGCUGUCUGUUUUUCCUGUGAAAGGAAAUCCCUGGAUAGUGGCACAACAAUCCUGAAGGUAUGCCCAGAUUUGCUUCUGAUAUUCAAACACAGCAGUGGGGGCGAAGUCUCCUGCCAGUCUCAGCUCUGCUGACCUUCUGUGAUGCAUCUCCUCUCCCCCUCAGCACAGGUAUGCCUACUAACACGGUGCUGACAGUGAACUCUGAGCGAGUUUCAUCUGUUGCAAGAGGAGAAUAAGGAAGGCAAAGUGCACAAUUAUUUCCUAUUUUGCUUAAGAUAUAGGAAAGAUCAGCAGAAAAGUUAUUGGAAUAGCCCAUAUGAUCUUCUGAAAAGCCUUCUGUGAAAUUUCAUCCAUAAACAAUCCUCCAGAAUAUUUCUGUCUACCUCUUGUCUAUCUUUUAACCUUGCCAUAUCCACAGGGCAGCUUUUCCCAGUUUAUGACAUUCUGGGAAGGAUUCAAGACUAGGAAACCUAUUAGACCUUGUUGUUUUCUGGGUGCUUGGCUACCUCUUUGUUCACCAUCUUUAAAGUAAGAGUUUUAACUUGUGUUAGCAUGCUACAUUGCUUCGAGUUUAGGUAGUGUAAUGGUGGCUGUCAUAUGCUGCCAUACUAAGAUCCAUGGCAAAACAUGGAGGUUGCAUCUAGAUGCCUGCCCAUUGCUGGAACACCUCAUUAACUUUAGAAAAAUGUUAAAUAUUGAUCAAAGUGUGUUUUAUCAGACAUAGUGUGUUGAAUCAGUCAGAUGUUGAAAUUCCUCAGAGACUUCACCUUAUCAGUGUCAUCUCUGAAGUUCUCUAGAAAUAUAGUGGAGCUACUUGGGACCUGUGAUUUGUGCUUGGUGGGUAGGUGGUUUUGGCAUCACACAAUGAGCCUGAACAGGAGGGAAGAGAUGCUGAGAUUUUGUCAUUGGAGCUAGAGCUCCUGGGACCAGGCCGUAAGGAUGCUCCAAG